CUUUGACAUUUUAUUUUAGAAAUAAUAAAAUAAGACAUAAUAUUAAUAAAAAAAUCUGUACAAUCCAGGAUCUGUGCAGUACAUUUUUUAGGAAGACUUUGAUACAAUAAAAAAAGGCUAGAGACAGAAAUAAACAUUAUUUACAUUGAUUGUCAAACACUGCCCACAUUGCGGGAACAUCUAGCCAACAUCUGAGCCGGGAUUGGCUAAUGUGCUGUUCCAGGCUUUAUCCUUCGACUUCUGAAAGUCAGGAGAAGCCAGAGUUUAAAGACAUUACAGUACAUCUCACGGAUUCACCCCAAUACCAAAUAAAACAGAGAUAAGAAAAUUGCAAAUUCAAACCCUUUGUCUUUACCAUGAAUUUCAAAAUCUAACUUAAAUACAUACACAUAUUUUUGUAAAAGUUAUAUCACCAAUCAGAUAAUUUUAAAUAAAUAGAAUAAUGUAUCCACUUUGCAUUGUGUAGUAUAAAGGAGUGGGUGAGAUUAUUUUUGUUCCAUCAAGUCUAAUAAUAUAGGCACGGGGCCACGUUCCCCAAAAAGUCUGCAACAAUGGUCAACACUGUUCCUUUCCAUCUUACGUAUAAAUCUAUUACCUCCAAUGAAACUCUCACAUUCCAAGAAUAUAAUAUGAUUUGGUGAUUAACAAUAUUUUAAAGUUGACUGGUAGACUGCCCCAAGUAUGUCGGUCUACAUUAAAAAAAGUUAAAAAUGUAUUACCAGAAUCAUCUUGACUUUCUGGGAAUUAAAUUUAAAAAAAAUGCAAAGACUUUAUGGCCAAAUGGUGUUUGAUUUAGAAAAUACUAUUGAAAGAAAUAUAGCUAGCCUACAGUAGUAUGGUGAAUUGCAAGAAUUAAGGAUAUAAAGGCAUACGGUGAUUCUACAGCUUGUUCUGACAUAACUACAUAAGUUUAAACUCAUCUCUUAAAAGAUGUAUUUAAAAAACACUAGACUCCUUAAGUAUCGAUGAAGCCAAGUAAUAAAACCAAAAUUAGACCAAAAAACCCCCAAAAAUAAAAUAUUCGUAACACAAUCUCCCUUUGCGUCUUCACAUGCAGUGUGUUCUAGUUAAGACAUUUUCUAAAAUGUCCAAUUCAAGUAUUUCAGGAACGACAGGAGAAGUCUUCUAACAAACCUAAAACAAUAUGUUUAGAGAACCCCAGCGUUGAUCCAAUUAAAAACAUUUCACAACUAAAGAAAUAGACUCAAAAAGUAGAGAUCUUUAGUUGUGGACAACUCAACAUUCAGCAAGGUAAACGAUUUGACCUCUGUCAAGGUCAGAAGGAUGUAGUGUUCAAUUACACUGGGUUAUAGAAGAAGAAAAAUAGCAUUUCUAAACAGUUUUUUGUUGUUUUUUUAUAGAAGUCGAAUAGGGCACUAACAUGUUUUUUCAUCAUGCCGAUAACGUUUGAUCUUUAAGAUGUGCAAUAUGAGUAUUAGUAUGAUUACUAAACAACAACAAUCAUUUUACUGCAACAUGUAACAAAUGAAUAUAAAAAUCCCAAAUCCCUUGCAGUGGUAGAGGGCAGCAUUAUAACCCUGGCCACUUUUAGUGGGUUGUUCCCCAAAACAAAAAACAUGGCAAUCUAUUUGCAAUCAAUCCAACCCUGCAGUCUGUUUUUCAUAAUCACCCAGCUAUCACAUUGCAACCGGGUCACAUAAUUAUAUCGAUGAGACUGAGGUCCACACAAGUAACUAAAACGCAAAAUGAUCAGUGGUGAUGUUAGUAAAUUCCAUUCUAAAACUGACAUCUGUACUAAAUAAGUGCAAAUCUGCUUGGUGAAGACAAAGGGUUUUUGCACAAACGAACAAUGACAAACGAACAAUGACAAGACAUGUUUACGGAUCAGAAAGCUAAUAACAGUUUAAAAUAAUAAAAAAAGUAAGAUAGCAACUACAAAACACUUUCAACUGAAAAGUCCAUGCUUGAAUAAAUAACAUCCACCCACAGCAUAAGCAACGUUUGAGGUUUGUAGAUAUUAUUUCAAUUCUGGAUCAGAAUUCACUGAGCUCUUUUUACACCUCUCUUGGCAUUUCGUGAUUGUACACCUUGUUAUUUACAUUUGGCUUGGAGUGUAGAAAUUGUCUAUAGAGUAUAUAAAAAUAUCCACUCUCGUAAUUAAAGGUUACCAAGAAAAAAAAAAAAAAUUGUUUGGGGAUUAGUCAAAUCUUUGCAAGGGUUUAAAACUGCUUUAUAAUCAAGGCGAGGGCUAUUAUAAAAAUAAAUGGUAAAAGUGCAUAGCAGCUACUUGUUUUCAGAAUUGAUUGAGAUUGAAACGUCGCUUUAACCAUGUGUACUCGGCAGAUAUUAUGUCCUAUCUUUAUGCUAGCUAAGAAAACAUCGUCAUUUGAUUUCUUUUUUUAACCCAAUUUUUUUUUUUUUUAUAAAGGUGCAAAUGCCCCAAUAGCAAACGCUGUAAUAUACAGCAAAUCUGUUUCUACAUUCCAGCUAGUUAAAGCAUAUUUAGCUUCACAUGUUAGUGCCUAAAAUUAAAACUAAUUUAGAACGUUUUAUGCAGAAUUACAAAGCAGUUUCUAGAAGUAUAGAGUGAGUUUCUAUGGAAACACUAGACUCCUUUUGACUAAUGAAGAUUCUCCUGAGAGAUUAUGUAAGAUUAACCCUUACUAGUUUCUGUAUAAAGCGAUAGAUAUUGGACAUAGCUACAAAGACCAUCAUGUGAAAUUCUCACUAAGGAUUGGAUUUAAUUGGAAGCCAAAUCGGAGAGAUUAUCCAACCCAUUUAUUGUUCCAAAUCCUGUAUUUUGUUCUAUAUGGUAAGAUCUGUUUACAGUAUAGUGAAUGAACUCCCAUUGAUUUUAGAAUUACUAAAACGAUCUGUAAGCAAGCUUUAAGCAGCGGUAGGGUCAUUUAAAAAAUGUAGAUUAAAAAAGCAAUGCACCUUUAUAUAAAUGGGCCGCUAUUAUUCUCAGUGCCAGGGUUCUAUUCCCUAAAUAAUGUGAUAUGUGGUGGGAAAACAAACAAUGUAGUAGAUUUUUUUUUAAAGUUUGCCAUUUCUAGACUAAAAUGUAUAAUUUUUGCCACCAGCUUACCACAACUCAUUGUUUAAUGAAUAGUUCUUCAGUUAAACUUCAAAUCAUUUUUGAAGAAAAUACCAUCUAUGCUUGGGCAUCAUUUUACAAAAUACUCUUUGGUAUCAUACCUUCCCUUUUAACAAUAUUGUAGCAGCAAGUAAUUUCAUUUCUAAUAACGUUCUUGGUGCAAAAUCUGGGCUCUUCAACCAGACCAUCAAUAUUUCAAAGUGACACCUUCAGAAUCUUGCUGAAAUACCCUCCAAACUUCGAUAGUCCUGGUGACAUUUUACAAACAGACUCGUUUCCCUUUAAUUACAGGUCUCCAAGGGCCCAGCCAGCCUUCACAGAUUUAACAGGUUAAAAGAUCAUCGAUCAGGACAAGAUUAUUUUUAAUGGCAUAUAUUUGACAGAUACUGUAAAAGAGCUCAACUUAAAAUGUGUAAAUGGUAUUUGCUCAGGAAGAUACCAAAAUCUGAUCUGUUCAUGGGAACCUGAUUCGACCAGUGGAAAGGCACCGACCACCAAAAAUAACACGGCCAACAAACACAAUGUAUCACCAACAUUCUGAUUGUGAGUGCAGUGCAAACAACUAAGUUUGGGUAUAAUAUAUAUAUAUUUUACAAAGAAAUUCAAUGUUAAAAAAAAUAAAUAAAAUCUAUAUAUUU
rnacentral:lncRNA from 1 species